UUAAUGGAGAGUUUGAUCCUGGCUCAGGACGAACGCUGGCGGCGUGCCUAAUACAUGCAAGUCGAGCGAGGGUCUUCGGACCCUAGCGGCGGACGGGUGAGUAACACGUAGGCAACCUGCCUGUGAGACUGGGAUAACAUAGGGAAACUUAUGCUAAUACCGGAUAGGGUUUUGCUUCACCUGAAGCGAAACGGAAAGAUGGCGCAAGCUAUCACUUACAGAUGGGCCUGCGGCGCAUUAGCUAGUUGGUGAGGUAACGGCUCACCAAGGCGACGAUGCGUAGCCGACCUGAGAGGGUGACCGGCCACACUGGGACUGAGACACGGCCCAGACUCCUACGGGAGGCAGCAGUAGGGAAUUUUCCACAAUGGACGAAAGUCUGAUGGAGCAACGCCGCGU
rnacentral:rRNA from 1 species